UACGGAGGAUGCGAGCGUUAUCCGGAUUUAUUGGGUUUAAAGGGUGCGUAGGCGGGCCUUCAGGCCGGCGGUAAAAUUGCGGGGCUCAACCCCGCCGAGCCGUCGGAACCGGGGGCCUUGAGUACCGGAGAAGUACGCGGAAUGCGUGGUGUAGCGGUGAAAUGCAUAGAUAUCACGCAGAACCCCGAUUGCGAAGGCAGCGUACCGGCCGGUCACUGACGCUGAGGCACGAAAGCGCGGGUAUCGAACAGG
rnacentral:rRNA from 1 species